rnacentral:rRNA from 1 species
UUUCCAGAGAUUGGAUUGGGUGGCCUUUCGGGAACUUUAGAUACAGGUGCUGCAUGGCUGUCGUCAGCUCGUGUCGUGAGAUGUUGGGUUAACGUCCGCAACGAGCGCAACCCUUUUCCUAUUUGCCAGCGGGUAAUGCCGGGAACUUUAAGGAUACUGCCAGUGACAAACUGGAGGAAGGCGGGGACGACGUCAAGUCAUCAUGGCCCUUACGGCCAGGGCUACACACGUGCUACAAUGGUCGGUACAAAGGGUUGCUACCUCGCGAGAGGAUGCUAAUCUCAAAAAGCCGAUCGUAGUCCGGAUCGCAGUCUGCAACUCGACUGCGUGAAGUCGGAAUCGCUAGUAAUCGCGGAUCAGAAUGCCGCGGUGAAUACGUUCCCGGGCCUUGUACACACCGCCCGUCACACCAUGGGAGUUUGUUGCACCAGAAGUAGGUAGUCUAACCGCAAGGAGGACGCUUACCACGGUGUGGCCGAUGACUGGGGUGAAGUCGUAACAAGGUAGGCGUAGAUGA